GAUGAACGCUAGCGGCAGGCCUAACACAUGCAAGUCGAGGGAGGAGCCUUCGGGCUUCGACCGGCGUACGGGUGCGUAACGCGUAUACAAUCUGCCUUUCACAUAGGGAUAGCCCGAAGAAAUUUGGAUUAAUACCUAAUGGUAUAUAGAUGUGGCAUCACCUUUAUAUUAAAGCUGAGGCGGUGAAAGAUGAGUAUGCGUUCUAUUAGCUAGUUGGAGAGGUAACGGCUCCCCAAGGCGACGAUAGAUAGGGGUUCUGAGAGGGAUAUCCCCCACACUGGUACUGAGAUACGGACCAGACUCCUACGGGAGGCAGCAGUGAGGAAUAUUGGACAAUGGUCGGAAGACUGAUCCAGCCAUGCCGCGUGCAGGAAGACGGCCUUAUGGGCUGUAAACUGCUUUUGCAGGGGAAGAAUAAGGACUACGCGUAGUUUGAUGACGGUACUCUGCGAAUAAGCAUCGGCUAACUCCGUG
rnacentral:rRNA from 1 species